rnacentral:lncRNA from 1 species
AAUUUCUAUGAAGCAGGGAAUGAAUCUCAUUUAUCCUUUAUUGUAUUGUGCCUGGCACAAUAAACAGUAGUUCAUUUUCCAGAACCCUCUCCACUCUAUCUACUUUCUUAGACUGAGGCCUCUCGUGACAUGGACUUGGAACUGCGGCUUUUCAGGGAGAAAACUUCUCAGGAGUCUUAUACAUACAUGAAGCCUACUAAAUGACAAAUGGGGGAAAAGGAAAAAUCCCACAAUCCCUUAGCGACCUUCCCCAACAAAGCUUCCUCCGGGGGCUGCAAGGAGCAAGGCAACAGUCCCGUCUGCCCUUCCCGCUCUGGGGCAGAAACCAGGACCAAGCGGCCAGGAGCGCUCCGAGAAUGCACACCCGGUCACGUGCACCGGCGGCGGCCACGCCCACCCCGGAAGGGGACCUGCGGCGCGCCUCGGCUGGAGAAGGGCCCCAGCGACGUAAGGCGUGCGUGCGUACGUGCGCCGGGAUGGCGAGGCGGAAGGGCCAGGGGACUGAAGGAGCGGCUCCGGGCUACCGGGACAGCGGCUUGCGCCCGAAGUCAGCUUUAGCGCCUGGCUGAGUCCCCGACCCGCGGCAGGGCCUGCGGGGCCUCUCUGCGUCCCGCCCGACGGGAUGGGUGGCAGUGACCUUCCAGGGACACGGCCGAGGGCAAUGUCGCUUCCUUCACAGGCACGUCCCCAAGACUACGUCCUCACGCCGCAGGUUCCCCCGCUGCGUGCUCAGCGCCCCUCGCCCGUAGCUUUACCUGUACCGGCCGGCGAUGAGCAAAGUCUGUCAGAAGGAGCCGGUAAACGGGCUCCGCCGUGAGACCCCUUCGCUUUCCGUAGUGGGCGGGGCUUCGCCCGGCGUCUUUUAAAGGAAAGGUGACGUGGGAGGAGCGCCUUUCCAGCUGGCGGGAUAAAUACCUCCGACAGAAAGUGCGGGGGGCGCGCAAGUUCCUGCUGCUUAGAGGGGCGUCGCGGACUCCGUGCCGCGCUUGCGACCGUCAGCGGCUCUUCUCGUUACGUUACGUUGACGCCAGCCUCCGUGCUUCUACGUGCCCACUGGGGCUUACAGAGGCUUGUUUCCUAAACGUCUUUUGUUUAGUAAAAUGCUGUUUUAAUUUCAUGUUUAAUAAACUGUUUCAUAAGCGUCUUAUAAUUAUUGUGCGUCGGGGAGCCCUGCCCCCUGUUUGCAGGUGAGCAGACGGAGCCGGGCGCUAAGAGGUUGCCCCGGCGGCGUCGGUGACUGCGCUCGGUGACCGCGCGGGGCCGCCGGGACAGACGGAGGGGGCCGGCGGAUGGGGAAACUAGUUCAGCCUGAAGUAGCUGCUUGGGAGCAAGGACCGAGGCUCCGUUUCCUCAUCACGUCCACGGCGUCUGGCACGGAGGCGCUGAUGUUGGCUGAAAUAGUGAAGUGAACCCAGACGCAGCUCGUGUGUGUGACCCGAAGUCCGAGGACACCCUUGUUACCCCAUUUCACGGAGGAAGGAACUGAAGCAUAAAGAAGUUAAGUAAUUUGCCCAAGGACACACAACUAGUAGAGAAUCAAGAAUAAAAAGACCCAGGCAGCCUGGUGCCAGAGUUGGUGCUCUGAAUGCCGGAUGUUCCUUCUGCUGCUGAAUAAAGAAGAGCGAAGCCAAGUUCCAAGUCCGGGAGGAUACUGAGCGUAAUGUGUAAAAUUGAUGGAAGACUUGAAUAGCUAAACGAAAGACUUGAAAUUUGCCAGACAGCAUCUUCACAGCUGUGACUCCCUCUUCACCCCCCACUGCCGAGCAGCUAAAUGACUAACUUGUGUUCCCUAACCAUAUGCCUGUCCAUGCUCUACCUACUGCCCGGAAUACGGAGCCAUCUUUCAAGCCCUAGCCCAGGUAUCUAGCCAAGAGAAAUGAAAACACAUGUCCACACAAAAACUUGUACAUGAAUGUUCAUAGCAGCAUUAUUCACAAUAGCCAAAAGUCGAAAUAACCCAGAUGUCCAUCAGCUGAUGAAUGGAUAAACAAAAUGUGGCAUGUCCAUACAAUAGAAUACUCUUUGGCCGUUUGGAGGAAUGAAAAUACUAACACGUGCUGCAACAUGGAUGAACCUCAGAAACAUUGUGGUCAGUGAAAGAAGCCAGUCACAGAAGAACACACUGUUUUUCCAGUUAUAUGAAAUAUCC